GCUGGGCGUGGUGGCUCACGCCUGUAAUCCCAGCAUCCUGGGAGGCUGAGGUGGGCGGAUCACAUGAGGUCAGGAGUUCAAGACCAGCCUGGCCAACAUGGUGAAACCCCAUCUCUA
rnacentral:sRNA from 1 species